rnacentral:rRNA from 1 species
GAGAGGAUGAUCAGCCACACUGGAACUGAGACACGGUCCAGACUCCUACGGGAGGCAGCAGUGGGGAAUAUUGCACAAUGGGCGCAAGCCUGAUGCAGCCAUGCCGCGUGUGUGAAGAAGGCCUUCGGGUUGUAAAGCACUUUCAGUCGUGAGGAAGGUAGUGUGUUUAAUAGAUGCAUUAUUUGACGUUAGCGACAGAAGAAGCACCGGCUAACUCCGUGCCAGCAGCCGCGGUAAUACGGAGGGUGCGAGCGUUAAUCGGAAUUACUGGGCGUAAAGCGCAUGCAGGUGG